CCCACCUGGAGGAAAGAGGGAGACACCGUGAACCAGCUAACUAGCUAAAGUUGGUUGAAAAGUAUACAUAGGAAAAUUGAGCUGUGCUUGAGAGUAUGAAUCUAGCUACUAAUAUAAAUAACCUAGCUGGCUAACGUUAGCUAUAAAUACAAGCAAGAAAACGAGCUAGCCAGGGGUGUAUUCAUUACGGAAUCCGUUUAAGAACCAAACGGAAGCUAACAGCUAAACGAGAAUUCAUAUUGGACAAAUUCAGCCCUCUAUGUGGCAGUAGGCCUCCAGGCUGGAGAAGAGGACGUAGAGGAACCAGAGGCCCAGGAAGAAGAGGCUGGUGAUGAUGCGUGCUGUCCGCGGCCCUCCCAGCUCCCCCCCGAUAGAGGGCCGCCGGCGGAACAGUAGCACGCCCAUGCAGAUGAAGGCGAAGCUGGUGAAGAGGGUGACGGAGAAGGCCAGGGAGCCCGGGUCCACGCGGAAUUCCUUGCCCUGCACCUUCCAGUAGACGGCCGCCACUGACCACGCCACCCCGAUGCCCAGGAACACGUUGACCGCGUUGCUGCCUGUCACAUUGCCCACCGACGCGUCAGCGUGCUGGUCCUGCGUAGCCGCCACCUUGCUGGCAAACGUGUCUGAGGAGGGAGGGAGGAGGGUAGGAAGGUUGGGAGAGAACAGAGAGAAGAAAGACAAGUGAAGAAGUGAGAGAGAAGUACCUGUCAUCACAGCUUUCAGCAUCUUAGUCAUACUGUUGUCAUAAGUCAACCACAGACAACACUUGUUACCAUAAACAUAUUUCGUUGUGGUCACACAAGGACUUCACUAACUGGCCAAGCUGCAAGGCAGGAAGUUCUGCAAUUUCCCAAACCGUAAUGCUAUUACUGGCAACCUUAUACCUAACCCGUCAUAAAAUGAGGGCUGGUUAUGGUAUUUAAAUGACAUUAAGAUAUACACUGAACAAAAACAGAAACACCACAUGUAAAGUGUUGGUCAGAUGUUUCAUGAAAUAAAAGAUCCCUAAAAUGUUC